CCCAGACUCCUACGGGAGGCAGCAGUGAGGAAUAUUGGUCAAUGGGCGCGAGCCUGAACCAGCCAAGUCGCGUGAGGGAUGACGGUCCUACGGAUUGUAAACCUCUUUUGCCGGGGAGCAAGCGUGCGUUCGUGAACGCGCGUCGAGAGUACCCGGAGAAAAAGCAUCGGCUAACUCCGUGCCAGCAGCCGCGGUAAUACGGAGGAUGCGAGCGUUAUCCGGAUUUAUUGGGUUUAAAGGGUGCGUAGGCGGAUUUGUAAGUCAGCGGUAAAAAUGCGGUGCUCAACGCCGUAUCGCCGUUGAAACUGCAGGUCUUGAGUGAGCGAGAAGUAUGCGGAAUGCGUGGUGUAGCGGUGAAAUGCAUAGAUAUCACGCAGAACUCCGAUUGCGAAGGCAGCAUACCGGCGCUCAACUGACGCUGAGGCACGAAAGCGUGGGGAUCGAACAGGAUUAGAUACCCUCGUAAC
rnacentral:rRNA from 1 species